GACGAACGCUGGCGGCGUGCUUAACACAUGCAAGUCGAACGGAAAGGCCCUGCUUUUGUGGGGUGCUCGAGUGGCGAACGGGUGAGUAACACGUGAGUAACCUGCCCUUGACUUUGGGAUAACUUCGGGAAACUGGGGCUAAUACCGGAUAGGAGCUCCUGCUGCAUGGUGGGGGUUGGAAAGUUUCGUCGGUUGGGGAUGGACUCGCGGCUUAUCAGCUUGUUGGUGGGGUAGUGGCUUACCAAGGCUUUGACGGGUAGCCGGCCUGAGAGGGUGACCGGCCACAUUGGGACUGAGAUACGGCCCAGACUCCUACGGGAGGCAGCAGUGGGGAAUAUUGCACAAUGGGCGGAAGCCUGAUGCAGCAACGCCGCGUGCGGGAUGACGGCCUUCGGGUUGUAAACCGCUUUCGCCUGUGACGAAGCGUGAGUGACGGUAAUGGGUAAAGAAGCACCGGCUAACUACGUG
rnacentral:rRNA from 1 species